GUGUUUAUAUGGAAUAGAACUUUUUUAAUUAAAAUAUUCACUUUUGUACACAUUUUCUUUAAAUAUCAGAUGUAUACUUGCUAAAAUUACUUUUAUUUAGAGUUCUGUAAAUAAAAAAAAAUGUAAGCAGAGCUCUAGCUAUAGAUAAUAGAUUUGGAGGGUGGGAGAAAUUGUGGGUAACUACAAUUGAUUAGGUGAAAUUUCAAAAGACUUAAAAAGUGCAUCUGAUAUUUAUUUUUACAUAAUGUUAUUUCUGAAAGCAAAUGGACAAUAAGAUGACAUAAACCACCUUCCAGGUUAGGAUAGCAGCUCUUAAGGAAGAUGGUCAAUUAAAUCUUCAACCCAGUCUGAGGCCUUACCAUGAAAAAUAUGUGGUUGUUGAAAUUACAAUGUUUUCAUGGUGUGGGGAGUAAGACUUGAAUAUCUGAUAUUGUUAACAUGAUGGUUAGCAUCACAAGUUUCCUUUGGGUAACUUGCUUGAGGAGUAAAGAGAGCUGUUUAAGUUGAAAGUGUCACCUUUGCUGCCUUGUGUGGUACAAUCUUCAGACAAUAUCCUGCAAACUGUGGCUGAACUGUUACUAUCUUUUUUUAGUAGAAUCCUUAGACAGUAAUCUUGUGGCAGAAUGAGUUGUAAACAAAUUGUUUUUAUUCCUGUAUUGAGUUUCAAAUUGGAUAUUUUUUUAUUUAUAUUAUUUGUAUUCCAUUUGCAUUCAAUUAUUGUUUUUUAAUUGAUGAAUCAUUAAAACUUAAAUUUUGCGGGGUCCUAAAGGACUUUCUUAGAGGGGGCCAGCGGGGAUAUUUAAUAAAGAUUAAUAUGCUUAGAAAUUUGGUGUGAGUAAAUAAACUUUACUUUUUAUUUUGAAACAGCAUGUGAUUAAAAAUAUGAAAUGAAUUGUUAAACAUAUCCUUGGUGAUCUAAUAAUUUUUUGCACAGAUCAAGAUAUUUAGUCAGUGGUGGAUCCAGAAAUUUUCCAGGAAUAUGGGGGGCACUGACUGCUUCAGCGGGGCCCUGCUCCAGUCAUGUUUUACUGAUUCCCUAAAUAUUAAACAAAAUUUUUCCCACUGAAGGGGCCCUCUCAAAAAUCCUCUUAAUCCACGUCUCUGCUAUUUUGUUUUUUUAUAACCCAGUAAAUAAGUUGAGUUUGUUCUCAAAAAAUAAUUUGAUUCAUGUACUUUUUAUUGUAGCAUAAACAUAGCUUUAAUUUCCUUUGUUUAAGAAUUGUAAUGUUUUUUUAAUGUCAUUUUUAAAAGUUGGCACUAAUUGAGGAUUCUGUUGUUUAUGGAAUUCUUUUAUAAGUUUGGUUAGCAAUAAAAAGUGUUUUUUUAUUAAACAAAGAAUAAUUACUCUGUUUACAGAAUUUAAUACAUGUAUCAAAAAUUAGACAUGAUUUAAUUUAAUUCAUAAUGCUUAUUUAAUUGGAAAUUACAUUAGGAUUAUCUCCCCCUAAUUAGUAUUCAAAACAAUAUUAUAAAAACAACCCGGAAAAUAAAUAGAAUCCUCAGUAAUGUCAACAUUUAUUUUGUAUAAAUGUAAUAUUAUGCUAAUGAUACAAAACCCAUGAUGCAGAUCCUUUUCCUCCUUUUUAUUGUAGAGAUAAUUUACAGACGUGUCCAAAAUCAUAUCCCUAGAAUCAAUUUGUUUUUUGAUAUUCGUACACACCUAACAAAAGCAGAUUGUGUUUGGUUUCAUUUGGAUAUUUUGUAUCAUUGUGAUAUAUCAUAAUAAUUAUAAUUUGUAAAUAAAAUAUAUUUGAAAAACCAGCCUCAUUUCAUUUGAAUUUGGAUAAGUAAAGGGGGAAGAGAUUUCUGUGGUCCACGGUAUGACACACAUGCAGAUGAUUUAUAUUUCCAUUAGGUGUCGAUCAUCAUCAUUCAACUUUUUUAAGAAUUUUUUGUGUAAUUUCUUUGCUGGUUUGAAUAAGACCCAAAAUAAACGAUGCUUUAAGCACUA